CAUGUUGAACUCUCUUAUACUCGUGACGCAAAAAACGCGCAAAAUAUGUAAUCGUUCUAAACGUUGACUUGCAUUGGGAUUUGAUAGCAUAAUUAACCCGAUAAAAUAAAUUGUUAAGCACUCAAAUUCUUAUUUCGUUUUAUGAGAGUCAUCAAGUGCACAUGAUUCAAAAAUGUUGCCUUAUAAACAUUUAUUAGUCUCUCCAGAUGUUAAGGCACAUGCCUAUUUUAUAGCGAUAUAUGAUCGAAUUCAUAUAAAUAUUUCAGUACUUAAUCCUUCGAUCUUAUGACCGUCAUAGUUUUCGUUGCCCAGCAAAACCAAAUCAAUAUCUGAAGCCAAAUAGACCCGCAUCUAAUAAAAAAUUAUUAAGUUAUUGAAUGGCAUCUGCUUUUAGUGAAACACAAAUAGCAUGUUUUAAAGCGGAAACUUUAUGAGAUAGUAGAAUCGGUUGCCUGAGAAUAAGCAGUAAACAAUUCCCACAGCAGUCGGAUCUUACGGAUUUAUAUUCGGACAAGGACUUCUAACUUUGCCCAAUUAUUUGUGGAAUACCUUUUGCCACUAAAACUCCAGUUUUCUCGAUUUCGUCACAAUAAUUUACGGUUGAAAUGGACGUUGAACCAACUCAGGGUGAGAGUUGAACUCACUAGAAUACAUUUCCAGAAGGAAAACACAGGAACUCGCCAAUUUGAGAGAAUUUACAUUUAACACAAACUCUAGUUUUGACGGUGAAAGUUAUGCCAUGGAAUUAGCGUCAACUCUUUGAUAUUAACAAGCUACACAAUAGUUUAAAUUUGCAUUAAUUAUAAAAUCGCGACAAAUUGAUAAGGUCACUUCGUAGUUAAAACAUUAUAAGCAAACGAUCCUGUCGGCUUCUACUUAUUUGCUCACUAGACGGAUGCAUCGUAUGAGAAGUUGGCCUUUAUGUAUAUAUAAAUACAUGUAUACCACUCAUCAAUAGAUUAUUGCUGGAAUGAAAAUAUUUAUACCCUGAACAGGGUAUAUAAAGUUUGUCACGAAGUUUGUAACACCCCGAAUGAAGCGUCGGAGACCCUAUAAAGUAUACUCGUGUAUAUAAAUGAUCAGUAUGUUGAGCUGAGUCGAUUUAGUAAUGUCCGUCUGUCUGUAUAUAUACGAACUAGUCCCACAGUUUUUAAGAUAUCGUUUUGAAAUUUUGCUAACGUCACAUUUUCUCUUCAAGAAGCUGCUCAUUUGUCGGAACUGCCGAUAUUGGACUACUAUAACUUAUAGCUGCUAUACAAAGUGAACGAUCGGAAUCAAAUUCUUGUAUGGAAAACUUUCACAUUUGACAAUGUAUCUUCACAAAAGUUGGCAAAGGUUAUUUUCUAAGAUAAUAAUGUAAUAUCGGAAGAAAU